rnacentral:lncRNA from 1 species
AGCUUCCUCCAGGCAGUUGAGGGCCUUAAGAGAAAAGGGUGAUGUCUACCAGAGGAAGAGGGAAAUCUGCCUUCAACCUGAGUUCACAUUCAAGUUGCAAGAUCAGCUCUUCCCUGGGUCUCCAGCCUGCUCAGCAGAUUUUGAUUUUGCUAGCCCCUACAAUCAUAGAAAUCUUCAUGAGGAUGGAGAACAUAGGAGUUAAGCCACUUUCAGAGGUGGGAAUGGAAAUUUUCAGAUUUGAUGAUGUUCCAGGUAGAGAAAUAACACCAUUGAUUCAAGAAAGAAAAAUGGGCCUAAAAGACGGAGUUUCACUCUUGUUGCCCAGGCUGGAG